UAGGGAAUCUUCCGCAAUGGGCGAAAGCCUGAUGGAGCAACGCCGCGUGUGUGAUGAAGGGUUUCGGCUCGUAAAACACUGUUGUAAGAGAAGAAUGACAUUGAGAGUAACUGUUCAAUGUGUGACGGUAUCUUACCAGAAAGGAACGGCUAAUUACGUGCCAG
rnacentral:rRNA from 1 species